GCCUUUGCCAGCGUCUCUCGGGCUAACCCAGCCGCCAUGUGUCACCGCCAGGCUGUGUCUGAAGGGAGCACAGGGGAUGCAGAGCCUCUGCUGCCUUAUUAAUUUACAAAAAAUCAGCAAAAAAGAAGAAUAUAAAAGUAGCCAGACUGGAUCAGACCCUCCUGUAUCCAACAGUGGCCUGUACCAGAGUCUUAUAAAGACUGUGCAAGAAACCUGCCCAAAGGAUCUUUGACCCUCAUUGUGGCUGACAUUUGGGCCUCAGCAGACUUGAGAGGUAUCAGGGGAAUGGAAGCCUCGUAAAUGUCAACAUGCUGCCUGCUGCUCCCAAGGGCACAGCUCUGUGGCGCCCACCCCUGUAGGAGGCCUUGUGGAGACACAUCAAGCCCAGCACUGUGCCUGAAGAGCAGGGACAGCUUUUGGACUCGUCAUUAUAGUUGGAUGUCCAAAUACUCAUGCAGCAAAACACCCACUAAUGUGCAACUGGGCAAAAGAGUCUGAUUUAUCUUAUCCAGCCCAGAGUCACCCACAAUGAGCCAUGCAGUCCUGAACUCCAGGCUUGAUUAUUUCCAAUCAUUGUAUCUAGGAAUGAAGCUACAUACCCUGGAAAAGCUUCUUGGUACUAAACACUUAUCUGCUUAGCAACACAAGUCCACACGAAUACACGUCUUCCCUAGAAUUCUGGGUGUCUGCAUUGGCUCGCUGUGGAGUCCAGAAUACAGUUCAAGGUCUCUGGCCAGGUAGUCAAAGUCCUUCAAGGGACUGGUCCUAGCUACCUGAGAAGAGAUCACCUCUUCCUUCAUGACCAUGAUCUUCCACAGCAACUAUGUUCCAUUCAACUCUUUGGAUCACUAGGGGGAGAUUCAUGAAUGGGGGAGACAGAACUGCCCCAGGAGCUGGGUUGGCCUAUAGAACCCACUCCCACAACAGAUGAGAAUGAGACCAGAACUAACCCCUUUCAGAACUAAAUGCGACACUCAUUUCUCCAACGAUUACAUAUACCAUUCCACAGUAGUAAUUAUGAAAUUAGCACCCAAAGAAGUGAAAUUCAAAGAAAAUAGUGCAGAGUAAUUUACACCAGUCACAAAUUAUGAGUCUCCUGUCCCCGUGCCAGUUCAGAUGCAAUGAUGGGUGAGUUGGAGGAGUGGAGUCAAAAUGCUACUGAUUUUCCCUCCCACACACACCCUGUUACCUGCUGGUGAGGUAGGGAGAGGGAGUAAAUGGAUGUGCAGCACUUGCUUGCUUUUCAAUACUUGGACCAAUGCUCAAGGUAGCCCAAGUCCCAGACUAGUCAUUAAUGUGUUACUAUUUCUGAUAAAAUUCUAGAAUUGUCCUUCCUCUUCCAUUUUACUGUUUCGUUCAAUCUUCUGUGCUUGAGAGAAAUCACCUCUCCUCAGUUGUGAAUCUAUUACUGAGGCUGGCCUGGAAGGACUUCUUCACAUGGAGACCGAGGCCUCGAUUAGGGAACCUGCAUUGAUCCCAAUGCACACAGGGCCCAAAGCUCUAACACAAUUGUACUAGGAAACCUUGGCCAUUAUUUAUGGCAAGAGAACACUUAUUGAGAGUGAGCCUUAGUGCAGGGUUCUUUGCAGCAUCUGUAAAAUCAGGAGGGGCAUUUAUCUCCUUACUAUCUGCUCAGUAUCUUGUGGUUAAAGUAUCAGCAGUUGUUUCCCCCUUUAUCAACAAUAAAUCACUGGAUAAAUGGCAGAUAAUGCAGUUUACUGUACAAUAGGCUUCAGGAGCUCCGCCAGCUUUUUUGCUGUCCUAGGCAGUGGAAGGUCCCGCCCCCGAAAUGCCGCCCCCCAACUGGGGCGGCCGAAGAUGCAGUCGCUGCCCCCCAAAUGUUAGUGCCCUAGGCAACCGCCUAGGUCGCCUAAUGGGUUGCGCUGGCCCCGGUAGGCUUACUGUUGGUGUUAUGUGGUUCAAAUAGGUGAUCCGAAGUGAUAGAUUCUCAGCAUAAAUUUGGUAUGCCAGAGAGAUGAACUAAUAGCGGCAGGGACCAUGGUUUUUUUGUUUUGUUUUUUCUGUGUUUGUACAGUGCCAAGUACAGGGAGGUCCUGAUCGAUGAUUGGGGUCCUAGAUGAGACUACAAAGCAAAUAACUGUAAUAAUAACACACACUGAAGUCUUUUCAUGCUUUAGGAUACAGGGCCAGUUACACCUCUUUAGUGACUUCAGUGGGAUUACCUCAGAUUUACAACGGUGUAAAUUAGAUCAGAAUCUGGUUCACAACACUGGAGAAAAUAUAUUCCAUGUGGACAGCAUGCACUCUGAGUAACUGGUGGCAAAGGAGAGCUAAGCUGUUUAAAACAGUGUUGAUAAAUUGGUUUCCUUCUUCCCCUUCCUGCAAACAAUUGCACUUUUAUUCUUUUAACUCUCCUGAC